AGCGGCUGACGAGUCCAAAAUAGGACGAAACGCGCGUCCUGGAU
rnacentral:hammerhead_ribozyme from 1 species